CCUACCGAGAAACCAUACGUAUAUUAUAUAGGGCCAACCGAUAUUUACGAUAUUUUUAUCGUAUCUCUACCGCCCUAGUAAAAUUCAACAGUAUUUUUUCUUUACUCGCUCCCAGGCAAGACUUUAACAACCGGCAACAAUAUGUAUUUUUUCUUCCGCGCGAAGAUUUAUGGUUCGUUUUAACACCACUCUAUGAUACGUAUAUAAUAUAGUGUGACUUUUAAAUAUUUCAUCGUCGUCGGUAAAAUCGUUAUUCUACAGUCAUAACAUAAUAGUCCUUAUACAUAUAUUGGGCAAAUGAUAAUAUGAUA